AUGAAUUUUUCAAAGUUGAGAAUGUUUAGUUGAACAAUGGUUCAAAAAUUCAAUUUAAAACAGUAAGUUCCCAAUCAAAGAAGCAAAUAGAGGAGAAGGUGUGUAUAGCGAGGUUGUCAUGAAGUGAGGUAGAGCCUGGGAAUGAGAUUUAAGACUGUCUCGCUGGUGUUGAAUCCCCAAAUACAUUCUGCUCUCUCUCUUGGCGCUUUCUGGGGCUUCCUUAUAUCACUGCAUUCCCCAGGUGUUCAUUAUGUGCAAAGGUUUGAAGUUACUACAGUCCCUCCUACUUCUUGACAAGCUCGACAGUGUUGAAGGGAUCCUUGAGAAUCUGGAACGUAUCUGUGAGUAAUCUUGGAAACAUUUGGGCAAUCUAUAGAUUCUUCACUUGUUCUCAUUGCGAAGUUACCCCAUUCCAUCUGAUACUUGGACCUGCCACCUCUGUUGGUAUGUUCCGUUGAACUAAGCAAGCUUGUUGAUGUGUUCUGUUGAACUGAGUAACAGUAUGUUUACUCUCAAAUUUAAAUCUUUUAACCUGAAUCCAGAAUCAACAGCGUCAUUAGAGUUA